CCUAGGGGUGGCUGCAGUGGGGAAUAUUGGACAAUGGGCGAAAGCCUGAUCCAGCCAUGCCGCGUGUGUGAAGAAGGCCUUCGGGUUGUAAAGCACUUUCAGUGGGGAAGAAAGCCUUGGGGCUAAUACCCUCGAGGAAGGACAUCACCCACAGAAGAAGCACCGGCUAACUCCGUGCCAGCAGCCGCGGUAAUACGGAGGGUGCGAGCGUUAAUCGGAAUUACUGGGCGUAAAGGGCGCGUAGGCGGUCUGAUAAGCCGGUUGUGAAAGCCCCGGGCUCAACCUGGGAACGGCAUCCGGAACUGUCAGGCUAGAGUGCAGGAGAGGAAGGUAGAAUUCCCGGUGUAGCGGUGAAAUGCGUAGAGAUCGGGAGGAAUACCAGUGGCGAAGGCGGCCUUCUGGACUGAAACUGACGCUGAGGUGCGAAAGCGUGGGUAGCAAACAGGAUUAGAUACCCGAGUAGUC
rnacentral:rRNA from 1 species